UCUCCGUAGGUGAACCUGCGGAGGGAUCAUUACUGAGUGAGGGUUUAACCGCCCGACCUCCAACCCUUUGUGAAUCGUACUCGUUGCUUCGGGGGCGACCCUGCCGUUUCGAUGGCGAGCGCCCCCGGAGGCCUUCAAACACUGCAUCAUUGCGUCGGAGUUAAAGUAAAUUAAACAAAACUUUCAACAACGGAUCUCUUGGUUCCAGCAUCGAUGAAGAACGCAGC
rnacentral:misc_RNA from 1 species